UAGGGAAGUCUUCCACAAUGGGCGGAAAGCCUGAUGGAGCAACGCCGCGUGUGUGAUGAAGGGUUUCGGCUCGUAAAACACUGUUGUAAGAGAAGAAUGACAUUGAGAGUAACUGUUCAAUGUGUGACGGUAUCUUACCAGAAAGGAACGGCUAAAUACGUGCCAC
rnacentral:rRNA from 1 species